UACGGGGGGGGGCAAGCGUUGUUCGGAAUUACUGGGCGUAAAGCGCACGUAGGCGGCUUUGUAAGUUAGAGGUGAAAGCCCGGGGCUCAACUCCGGAAUUGCCUUUAAGACUGCAUCGCUAGAAUUGUGGAGAGGUAAGUGGAAUUCCGAGUGUAGAGGUGAAAUUCGUAGAUAUUCGGAAGAACACCAGUGGCGAAGGCGACAUCGCUGGGCCGUACU
rnacentral:rRNA from 1 species